rnacentral:rRNA from 1 species
UACGUAGGGAGCAAGCGUUGUCCGGAAUCAUUGGGCGUAAAGCGCGCGUAGGCGGCCCGAUAAGUCCGCUGUAAAAGUCAACGGCUCAACUGUUGAAAGCCGGUGGAUACUGUCGGGCUAGAGUACGGAAGAGGCAAGUGGAAUUCCUGGUGUAGCGGUGGAAUGCGCAGAUAUCAGGAGGAACACCUAUAGCGAAGGCAGCUUGCUGGGACGUAACUGACGCUGAGACGCGAAAGCGUGGGGAGCGAACAGG